CACACGACUCUCGGCAACGGAUAUCUCGGCUCUCGCAUCGAUGAAGAACGUAGCGAAAUGCGAUACCUGGUGUGAAUUGCAGAAUCCCGCGAACCAUCGAGUCUUUGAACGCAAGUUGCGCCCGAGGCCUUUCGGCUGAGGGCACGCCUGCCUGGGCGUCACG
rnacentral:rRNA from 1 species